CACUCACCCGGCCCCUCUCUUGCAGAACACACUGCUCUGCUUCGCCGUCCACGGUAUCUUCAAGGAGGUGGACGGCAAAUCCCGGGACUCGGUGCGCGCCUUCACCCGCAUGUUCAUCGCCGUCCCGGCCGGCAACACCGGGCUCUGCAUCGUUAACGACGAGCUCUUCGUUAGGAACGCCACCACCGAGGAGAUCCGCAAGGCCUUCCUCAUGCCGGCCCCCACCCCCUCCUCCAGCCCCGUCCCCACCCUCUCGGCCGAGCAGCAGGAGAUGUUGGCCGCUUUCUCCAUGCAGUCGGGCAUGAACCUCGAGUGGUCCCA